GACAGAGGGUGCAAACGUUGUUCGGAAUUACUGGGCGUAAAGCGAGUGUAGGCGGUCUCGUAAGUCGGGUGUGAAAGCCCUGGGCUCAACCCAGGAAGUGCACUCGAAACUGCGAGGCUAGAGUACUGGAGAGGUUGGUGGAAUUCUCGGUGUAGAGGUGAAAUUCGUAGAUAUCGAGAGGAACACCGGUGGCGAAGGCGGCCAUCUGGGACC
rnacentral:rRNA from 1 species